GGAAUGUACGCUGGCGGCGUGCCUAAUACAUGCAAGUCGAGCGAACAGAUAAGGAGCUUGCUCCUUUGACGUUAGCGGCGGACGGGUGAGUAACACGUGGAUAACCUACCUAUAAGACUGGGAUAACUUCGGGAAACCGGAGCUAAUACCGGAUAACAUAUUGAACCGCAUGGUUCAAUAGUGAAAGGCGGCUUUGCUGUCACUUAUAGAUGGAUCCGCGCCGUAUUAGCUAGUUGGUAAGGUAACGGCUUACCAAGGCAACGAUACGUAGCCGACCUGAGAGGGUGAUCGGCCACACUGGAACUGAGACACGGUCCAGACUCCUACGGGAGGCAGCAGUAGGGAAUCUUCCGCAAUGGGCGAAAGCCUGACGGAGCAACGCCGCGUGAGUGAUGAAGGUCUUCGGAUCGUAAAACUCUGUUAUCAGGGAAGAACAAAUGUGUAAGUAACUGUGCACAUCUUGACGGUACCUGAUCAGAAAGCCACGGCUAACUACGUGCCAGCAGCCGCGGUAAUACGUAGGUGGCAAGCGUUAUCCGGAAUUAUUGGGCGUAAAGCGCGCGUA
rnacentral:rRNA from 1 species